rnacentral:lncRNA from 1 species
AAGGACAGGGUUAGGAGGAGUAUGGUAGGUGUAGUGUAAUGAAAGGAGCCUUAAUUUCAAUGUUCCUCAGCCUCUGUCUGACCUCAGUGCUGCAGUGCUGAUGGGGAUCUGUGUGUGCAAAGGCAAACAGUUACUCAACAUGUUGAGGAAUUUCAGUGACUCGGCGGUUUGUCAGUUAGCACUUAGCACAUAUAAGAAGAAGCUGCAAACUGUUGCUUUCGUUAGACCAUCUAUAGCAUUAGGCAUCCAUCUUUUCGGGGCUUGUACGCUUGCCGCUCUGUUCUACGAAGCACCGACAGCCGUGUGUUUGUGACGAUAAUUUUAGUCGAAGUCGCUGUCAGGAACGAUGACGAGCUAGAGCCUGGAUAAGCAGCAUCAGAGGUGUCUUUUCUUUUGGCGAAACAUGGACCUUAAACUUCGUUGUGCUUGUGCAUAUACAAAUAGUUACGCUGUGAGCGUAUUACACUAAAAGAAAAAAAAACUUGAGUACAUUCUGUAAGAGCUUCUGACAUAUACAAACAUGAAUUUGGCUGUAUACAUCCACGGAUGUAGAGGCCGGAUACUUUAUAUUCAUUAUCUAAAAAAAAAUACAGACAUGAACUGGUUAUUUUUCUGAAAAUUACUCCCUCCAUCCAAAAAAUAGGAACCGUAC